rnacentral:lncRNA from 1 species
CCACCUACCCCGUAUUCUCGAUUCAAAAACUCGUUUUGCCCUUUGUACAAAAUUUCAGUAUUAGUAUCAUUAUCUUCUUUUAUCGAGGUUGACAAUGGCUGCUCCAGAAAACAAUCAUGUGAUUAACUACUUUCGGUACUCCUCUGUCCCUUUGUUUUUAUUUUAUUUUAUUUUAUCAAUUUAUUCUAACUAGUUGUCAUUUCUAGUAUUACAUAUAGACGUCGUUACCCGCGUCGGAAUCGACCUCAACCACCAUCGACACCAGAAAUCUUUUGCCACAAGGUUAUUUACAUCUUAUUAUUUUGUAACAUAUACUUCUAAUAAUUGUUUAUUUAAUAUAAAAUUUGAAAAUUAGGUAAUUUGUGAUUUUCAAAAAAUAUAUCAUAUAGAUGAUAUAAUCUUAUUGGGGUAGGAAACUCAAGAUUCGAUCUAUAAGCCAAUUUGAUUCUUACCUAUGAUUUAUAGGUCAAUUUGACUCUUUAGAUCUGACUUGUUUCAGCCGAUCUAAUUUUGAUUUGAUUUUAGAUAACACGUCAAAGAUUUGAUUUUAAUUCAUGUCCGCCAUUUAUGGUGAAUUCACUAUGGCUACUAAAACACACAUAGACAUUGAGUUGCCUUCAAAAUUAUUUAAUUUAUUUUAUAAUCCAUUUAGAUAUAUUUUUAAACAAAAUGUAAGCAUUAUAGAGCUAUCGAUUUAAUUAAAUCAUAUGAUACUUUUUAAGUUCAUGUAAAUUACUUUCUUAUAGUAUUUUCUUUAUGUAGCACUUCUUAUAUAAGUAUUAUUUUCUUAUAAGAUUCUUUUCAAAAAUUGAUUUUCUUUAUCCUGUGUUUUUUCUUUCAUGAGAGUUUUUUUUGAGUAAAUCCAUAAGUGAAUAUACAAUAUAGUCAUGUAAUGUAGCUCAUAUUUCUCUUAAUGUGAGCUCCAUUUGUUUGUAUGCAUAAGAGCUUGAGUUUCAUCUUAGAACAUAGAAGCUUGUGGACAUGUUAACUUUUGAUUGAAUUAGAGUAGCACAUAUUCAAAUUUGAAUAUAGAUUGAGAGCUUUCUAAGGGUUAUAAGAGUGUUUCAAAACUUAAAAGUUUGUUCACAAAAGUUAUUUCCUUUGUAUGUUGAAGUCUUCUCUUUAUAGGCAGUUGCCAAAAUUUUCUUUUUGGGGAGGCAACUCCUCUUCCAUUCCAUUCUUGUGCCUCUCCUUCUAUUUUCUUUAUGUUUUACUACAUUCCACCUAUCUACCUAUCAAAACUCUCAAUGAAAACAUUAAUAGUCUAUUUACAGCUUAAAUUUUGGAGUGAAUGAAAGAGAAAUAAAAGACUUUGUAGUUAUGAAAUAAAUUUGUGAGAUAGUUCAAAAGUCUUACAUUUCUCUUCAUUCCCCUCCAAAACUCAACUCACAAAUUGGUCAUAAUAGUCUAUUUGUGGGUUGAGUUUUGGAGGAGAAGAAAGAAAAGACUUAAAAAUUAUGAAAUACACUUGUAAGUUGAUUCUGAAGCCUUCUAUUUCUCUUCAUUCUCCUCCAAAACUCAACUCGCAAAUAAACUCUAACAUAUAGUUGAAAAGCUAAUCCAGAGACACCUUGACUCCUACCUAUGCUCAAUUUAAUACAACUAUAGUAUUUAAUUACAAUUCCUAAAUAUGCUGAUAGAUAAGUAAAUAUGCUUUUCAUAUAACUUUACUAAUUAGACAUAAUAAUGGAUUUAGUUUAAUUGGGUUUUUUGUGUCCUGUCUUGGUAUCUAUGUAUUCUUUUGGAAGGAGUAAGUGUGUAAGUUGGUUUGACUAGAUCUUACCAACUUGGAAAAACCAUUUCCACCUUUAUUUAUUUCAGUCAAGCCCGGGGUUAAACUUCCUCUAUUCUAUUCUUCCACCCUCUUAAGCCAAAAUGUAAUGAUUUCACCAUGUGAUAUUCAAAUAUUUAUCUUGUGUUCAUUUUUCACAUUCUUCAAUUUUGGUAAUAAUUUGUGGGUAACUUUGGUGGAGAGUGAUUGUAGCUUUUGCAUGAAAAAAGAAUGUGUUGAAUAGGAAAUAUUUUAAUUAAAUAUUAGUUUUUUCGGAUUUUAAAUUGUUGUUGCAAUUUGGUUGUGUUUACCAUAAUUGCAGGAAAUUGCGACUGUGGUCCCAAUCCCAAAACAGUAAUAUUGCGACCACAAUUACAGUUGCAGAAUUCAAUUUAAAACUCUAGUAUUUUAGUUCUUUGAUUGUAGAUAGAUUUUGCUUAUCAUAAUUGUAGGAGACUGCGACUGAAACUGUAGUCUCAAUGUCAUUAUAGAGACUCUCAAAAAUAUAAUAUUGUAAUGACAAUUGUGAAGUUUAGUUAAAAAGACUAGUAUUUUAGUUCCUCGAUUGCUUAUAAAAACAACAAUCUCAUUCUGAUGUUGAUAUAUACUAACAAGUAAGAAGAAAGCAGGACAAAAAUAGAAAUAGAAUAGUGCAAAAAUUGUAUUAAAGAGUGUAAAAAUUGUACAUUGCUAUCAUGGAGAAUUGCAAGAGUACAAUAAGAAAGUUAUAAAAUGCAGAAAGUAUAAUAGAGUAACUAAGGGAAUAAUCUCUCUCUAGCAUGUGACAACAAUCACCCACAAUUCCCCAAAAUGAUUCCUCAUGUGUUGUUCCUCCUUCUCAUAUUCACCUUCCUUCCUUCCUUGAUUCUAGGAUCUUUUAUCCAUUCAUAUUUUGCCAAGUGUCUUGUUGGUUAGAGUCAUGUGCAACAUGCUCAUUUUCUAUUCUUCCUAAAAUACCCCAAUCAACUUUCUUUCUUCUUUGAAAUACCCUCCUAAUUGGAGGCCUAUCAAUACCCUCCCCAACGAGCAACACCUUGUCCUCAAGGUGAAAAUCAUGGAAAGUUUCAUGGACUAAUGUAAAAUCUUCCCAAGUUUUGUCAUGGUCUGGGAGAUCAGCCCACUUAAUCAAGACUUCCAUCUGUCCAUUCAACAACUUUCGACUAGAUAACACCUUUUCUAGAACUACUUGCAAUUCCCACUCCUCCGUCAAAUCAACAGGUAACUGCUGACAAGGGAUACUAGUAGGAAGUGCAUGUUUGAGUUGUGAAACAUGACAAACAGGGUUCACCUGAGAGUAAUCCGGAAGUUGCAGCCGAUAGGCCACGACUCCUACUCCAUUGUUUUGGAUGUUCAUUUACAAAACACCUUUAAGUAUGUCUCCAAGGUCCAAUUAGUAACUUAUGUUUGACCAUCAGUUUGAGGAUGGUAGAUGGAACAAAAAUGCAGUUUGGUCCUUGCCAAACGAAAUAAUUCUUUCCAAAACAAAUUGAUAAAAGCACGAUCGCAAUCCGAAACAAUAGAGCUAGUGAAACUAUGCAAAUUAAUGAUAUCCUUAAUAAAAGCUUGAGCAACAUCUUUAGCUGUGUAAGGAUGUUGUAAAGGGAUAAAAUGAGUAAAAUUACUCAAUCGGUCUAUCACCAUCAUAAUUGUGCCAUCUCCUUUUACCUUAGGUAACCCUCCAAUGAAAUCCAUAAAAACAUCUUCUCACACAUGGUUGGGGAAGAGGUUGGAUUAACCCUGUCGGUUUCAACGCUUGAUAAUUGUUCUGUUGAUAAAUGUCACAACCAACCACAAAUUUUUCUAUAUCUCAUCGCAUUCCCUUCCAAUAAAAUGCCAUAGCGAUAUGUUUAUAAGUACGAAUCACCCCUGAAUGUCCUCCCCAAGCUAGGCAAAACUAACAUGCCUUUGUACCACAAACAGCCCUUAGAAACAUCAUACAUUGGAUGAGAAUAUGGAUCCUGGACAACCUCUUGCAAGAGCCGCAACAACUUGUCAUCAGCGAGAAUUUCAUCCACCAAUUCAACCAGAUCAAUAUUGGUAACCAUAAAAGUUAAUUUGUAUUCCAUAACACGUAACAAUGCAUUCGCCACUCUAUUUUCUGGCCUGAGCUUGUAGUGGAUUUCAAAAUUAAAACCCAUCAACUUAGUGACCCAUUUCAGUUGGUUCCUCGCCAACAUGCAUUGAUCCAAUAAGAACUUAACACUGGUCAGCUUCAAUCCCUUUCUCAUAAAUGAGAUGUCCCAAAUACUCCAAUUGGGCUGCUCCAAAACAACACUUCUUGUAGUUCACCCACAACUUAGUCAUGUGCAACAUGCUCAUUUUCUCUUCUUCCUAAAAUACCCUGAUCAACUUUCUUUCUUCUCUGAAAUACCCUCCUAAUUGGAGGCCUAUCAGAUACCAAUGACAACAACAUAUGUAGUUCCAUUAGCUAGACAUUUUAGUUCCUUGAUCUAGAAAAUAUAUGAAAACAAAGAUCUCAUAUUGAUAGCAAUGACAUCAACCAAUGUUAUUCCAUUGGCUAGACUUCUAUAUCCAAUUGAAGGGUCCCAAUUUUGUUUAUUCAAAUUGUUUAAACCUUAAUUGAUAAAAGUUCAGUUCCUUAAGUUUAUAGACCCUUAUUGAAGGGUCCUCAUUACACUACAGUAUCCAUAUGUAUACAAAUUAGCCUAUGCCAUCAAUAUUAAUUAGCCUAUACUUUCAUAAUUUAUAUGUGCCACUAGAAUUUUCUCAAGGGCAUUAUAUGGGUCAUUGUAGCUUUAAUAGUUUUUGCAACAUCACUUUUGCUUUGCUUGCAACCUACAACGACAAUGUCCAUUUGAAAAAACCUUUAUCUCUUGAGUUAAUAUCUAUUUAUACAGUGUAAAUAUUUAUAUAUAAUAAAUGUAUCAUCCCAAUUCGAUUGUAUUAUUUUUGUUUAAAAUCAAUGACAAUUAAAAAUGAAUAGAAUUUCUUACACUUUCAGUGUAUACAUUUUUUUUCUCUCUGUCCUUUACUGUUUUUUUGGUACAUUAUAUAUGCAAUUUUGUUUGGUAUAUUGAAAUAUUUGCUAUUAUAAUUUUCUUCUGAUCUUUUCCUUUUUUUAAAUCAUGGGUAGGCCAUAAUGUCUGACGAAGAAACAGAAGAGGAAAUUGAGGAAAAGGUGCAUGUAGACAUUGACAUGGAGAAGAAGGAAAAGAAGGUUGAUGUAGAAGAUGAUGCAAAAAAGACUGAAACUCCAAAGCCUCUGAAAGUUUAUAUAAGAAGGAAGAAAAGACAGGUCAAGACCAACUAGGUUUGAAUUAUCAUUAUCUAUGUGGUUGUGUCCUAAGAAAGUUAUUUAUGCAGUUAUGGAUUCAUAUGAAAAUAACUGCUGGUAUUUUAUCUGUUUAUGUUGUGUGAAGAAGAUUAUUCAGUGUUACUGUUUGUGAAUUGUUGAAGGGGGAAUCCCUGUUAGGGGAAAACCUUAUGCUUGUUGACGAAAUAUGAGAAAUUACUUUACAAAUGUGAAGAACGAGUCAAAAAAUAUUUGAUGAUUACCUUAAAG